AGAGUUCGAUCCUGGCUCAGGAUGAACGCUGGCGGCGCGCCUAACACAUGCAAGUCGAACGGCACCCACCCUCGGGUGGAAGCGAGUGGCGAACGGCUGAGUAACACGUGGAGAACCCGCCCCCUCCUCCGGGAUAGCCUCGGGAAACCGUGGGUAAUACCGGAUGACCCCGCAGGGCCGCAUGGCCCCGCGGGCAAAGCCCAGACGGGAGGGGAUGGCUCCGCGGCCCAUCAGGUAGACGGCGGGGUGACGGCCCACCGUGCCGACAACGGGUAGCCGGGUUGAGAGACCGACCGGCCAGAUUGGGACUGAGACACGGCCCAGACUCCUACGGGAGGCAGCAGUGGGGAAUCUUGCGCAAUGGGGGGAACCCUGACGCAGCGACGCCGCGUGCGGGACGGAGGCCUUCGGGUCGUAAACCGCUUUCAGCAGGGAAGAGUCAAGACUGUACCUGCAGAAGAAGCCCCGGCUAACUACGUGCCAGCAGCCGCGGUAAUACGUAGGGGGCGAGCGUUAUCCGGAUUCAUUGGGCGUAAAGCGCGCGUAGGCGGCCCGGCAGGCCGGGGGUCGAAGCGGGGGGCUCAACCCCCCGAAGCCCCCGGAACCUCCGCGGCUUGGGUCCGGUAGGGGAGGGUGGAACACCCGGUGUAGCGGUGGAAUGCGCAGAUAUCGGGUGGAACACCGGUGGCGAAGGCGGCCCUCUGGGCCGAGACCGACGCUGAGGCGCGAAAGCUGGGGGAGCGAACAGGAUUAGAUACCCUGGUAGUCCCAGCCGUAAACGAUGGACGCUAGGUGUGGGGGGACGAUCCCCCCGUGCCGCAGCCAACGCAUUAAGCGUCCCGCCUGGGGAGUACGGCCGCAAGGCUAAAACUCAAAGGAAUUGACGGGGGCCCGCACAAGCAGCGGAGCAUGUGGCUUAAUUCGAAGCAACGCGAAGAACCUUACCAGGGCUUGACAU
rnacentral:rRNA from 1 species